UCAACAGAAAAAAUCAAGAAAGGACCAUGACUCUCCUGAUUUUUCUUCUUUUUCGUCUACUACUUCUCCUUCUUCUUCUUCAUCCUCUUUGUCUUC
rnacentral:ribozyme from 1 species